rnacentral:RNase_P_RNA from 1 species
UGAGUCGGCCGGGCGGCCGCGUCGGGAGUAAUCCCGCCGAGGAAAGUCCGGACUCCGAAGGGCAAGGUGGUGGCUAACGGCCACCCGGGGUGACCCGCGGGACAGUGCCACAGAAAGCAGACCGCCUCCGGCUCCGGCCGGCGGUAAGGGUGAAACGGUGGUGUAAGAGACCACCAGCACGCCAGGCGACUGGCGUGGCUCGGUAAACCCCACCUGGAGCAAGAUCAGACAGCGUGCGUUCGAGGGCGGCCCGCCCGAGUACGCGGGUAGAUCGCUGGAGGCCACCGGCAACGGUGGUCCUAGAUGGAUGGUCGCCACGUGUCCGCCGCGUGCGGCGGCGCCAUACAGAAUCCGGCUUACAGGCCGGCUCAUCCA